rnacentral:rRNA from 1 species
UACGGGGGGGGCAAGCGUUGUUCGGAAUUACUGGGCGUAAAGGGCUCGUAGGCGGCCAACUAAGUCAGACGUGAAAUCCCUCGGCUUAACCGGGGAACUGCAUCUGAUACUGGAUGGCUUGAGAUUGGGAGAGGGAUGCGGAAUUCCAGGUGUAGCGGUGAAAUGCGUAGAUAUCUGGAGGAACACCGGUGGCGAAGGCGGCUUCCUGGCCCGUACCUGACGCUGAGGCGCGAAAGCGUGGGGAGCAAACAGG